rnacentral:tRNA from 1 species
GGGGAAUAGUAUAAUGGAUAGUGCGUCUGGCUUUGACCCAGAAGGAUUGGGUUCAAUUCCCAAUUCCCCUGCCA